CCUACGGGUGGCAGCAGUUAGGAAUUUUGGGCAAUGGGCGAAAGCCUGACCCAGCAACGCCGCGUGGGUGAUGAAGGCCCUCGGGUCGUAAAGCCCUUUUCCCAGGGAAGAUGGUGACGGUACCUGGGGAAUCAGCCCCGGCUAACUACGUGCCAGCAGCCGCGGUAAUACGUAGGGGGCAAGCGUUGUCCGGAUUUAUUGGGCGUAAAGCGCUCGCAGGUGGUCCGUCGCGUCGUGUGUGAAAGACCCCGGCUCAACCGGGGGGCGUCAUGCGAUACGGGCGGACUGGAGGCCAGUAGGGGGAUGCGGAAUUCCGGGUGUAGUGGUGGAAUGCGUAGAGAUCCGGAGGAACACCAGCGGCGAAGGCGGCAUCCUGGACUGGUCCUGACACUCAUGAGCGAAAGCGUGGGGAGCGAUCCGGAUUAGAUACCCUUGUAGUC
rnacentral:rRNA from 1 species